GGUGGCUCAGUGGUAGAGUGCUUGCCUUGCAUGCAUGAAGCCCUAGGUUCGAUUCCUCAGCACCA
rfam:Dipodomys ordii contig_50929, whole genome shotgun sequence.